AAUCUUCAAAACCUGUUCUUUAAUUGGAGAAAGGGUUUUGGACUUGGAGGAUCAAUGCUUGCCCUCACUUUGAAGGCGAGCUCCUCUUAAAUAAAUUAGUGGGGUUUGCUUUGCUGAUCCUUGACGAUGAUAAGACAUCUCUACGUUUUGGAUUUGGCGACUGUCCCUCGCUUCUAACCGUCCUAUGGACAAUGAUGGGUUGCACCGGUCCACCGCCUUACAUUGGUGGGGGGCUGGACCCACAAAAAAGGACC
rnacentral:misc_RNA from 1 species